rnacentral:rRNA from 1 species
AGUAACGCGUAAAGAACUUGCCUCACAGUUAGGGACAAUUUUGGUAAACGAAUGCUAAUACCUAAUAUUAUGAUAAUAGGGCAUCCUAUAAUUAUGAAAGCUAUAAGCGCUGUGAGAGAGCUUUGCGUCCCAUUAGCUAGUUGGAGAGGUAACGGCUCACCAAGGCGAUGAUGGGUAGCCGGCCUGAGAGGGUGAUCGGCCACAAGGGGACUGAGACACGGCCCUU